CGACGGGUAGCGGGUUGUGAGAGCAAGAGCCCGGAGAUGGAUUCUGAGACACGAAUCCAGGCCCUACGGGGUGCAGCAGGCGCGAAAACUUUACAAUGCUGGCAACAGCGAUAAGGGAACCUCGAGUGCCAGGUUACAAAUCUGGCUGUCGAGAUGCCUAAAAAGCAUUUCAUAGCAAGGGCCGGGCAAGACCGGUGCCAGCCGCCGCGGUAACACCGGCGGCUCGAGUGGUAACCGUUAUUAUUGGGUCUAAAGGGUCUGUAGCCGGCCGGAUAAGUCUCUUGAGAAAUCUGGCAGCUUAACUGUCAGGCUUUCAGGAGAUACUGUCUGGCUCGAGGCCAGGAGAGGUGAGAGGUACUUCAGGGGUAGGGGUGAAAUCUUGUAAUCCUUGAAGGACCACCAGUGGCGAAGGCGUCUCACCAGAACGGACCUGACGGCAAGGGACGAAAGCUAGGGGCACGAACCGGAUUAGAUACCCGGGUAGUCCUAGCCGUAAACGAUACUCGCUAGGUGUCGGCCACGGUGCGACCGUUGUCGGUGCCGUAGGGAAGCCGUGAAGCGAGCCACCUGGGAAGUACGGCCGCAAGGCUGAAACUUAAAGGAAUUGGCGGGGGAGCACCACAACGGGUGGAGCUUGCGGUUUAAUUGGAUUCAACGCCGGG
rnacentral:rRNA from 1 species